rnacentral:rRNA from 1 species
CAGAAUGAACGCUGGCGGCGUGCCUAACACAUGCAAGUCGAGCGAGAAAGUCUCUUCGGAGAUAAGUACAGCGGCGGACGGGUGAGUAACGCGUGAGAAUUUACCCUUUAGUGAAGAAUACCUCUGAGAAAUCAGGGUUAAUACUGCAUACGUCCCUACGGGGAGAAAGGUGGCCUCUUGCUGCCGCUAAAGGAUAAGCUUGCGUACUAUUAGCUAGUUGGUGAGGUAAAGGCUCACCAAGGCGAUGAUGGUUAGCCGGCCUGAGAGGGUGUACGGCCACACUGGAACUUAGACACGGUCCAGACUCCUACGGGAGGCAGCAGUGAGGAAUAUUGCGCAAUGGGCGAAAGCCUGACGCAGCGACGCCGCGUGGAGGAUGAAGGUCUUCGGAUUGUAAACUCCUGUUAAGUGGGAAGAAAGACCUAUUUCUAAUACAGAUAGGGGAUGACGGUACCAUUAGAGAAAGCACCGGCUAACUUCGUG